GAAAACCUAAAAAUUCCACCAUCAUCUUGGCUUCUCUUCCUUCUGUGGAAUUUUUUCUUCAUCAUCAAGUUAGAUUUUUUGAGAAUCUUCAUAUAAUUAAGCCCUUGAUGUAUUGGACGAGCCGACAUUCAUUGCACCCUAAAUGUGAGGUCUCGUUCAGUUUGGUGGUGAAAAUGGAAAUUAGGAAUUGUUCCCUCCAUUGACACUGGAGUCCUUAUUUGUAUGUAUUGGUCAAUGGGAACAUUUAGAUUUUCAACUUUGCUACUGAUCGAUAUACAAAGGAGAGUAGCAGCAUCAUAAUUAUUUGACAUACAUUCAGGUGUAACCAGUUGAAGUGCAGUAGAGAGUUUCUAUCUGAGAAGCGCCUCAAGCAAUGCAUGAUCUAUGUUCCUUGAAAAAUAUAGAGAAGGGAAAUGUAGGCUUCAAUAACAAAAGUCCAGCAAGCCAUUGUUGCUACAGAUUGUAUUCGUAAGAUUUUGGGAUUGGACAUCAGCGGUGGUACUAUGGUGGGAGAUGAUAUGUCAAGGGAUAUUAAAAUUGUGGCCACAAGUCAAUUCAAUCAAUUGAAGUUCAUGCAAACUUUUUGAAUAUUACAAUGUUAAAUUUAUAUUUUAAUUUGUGGAAUUCAUUGCUAGUGCACAUUUUGAAAUAUUAUUUUAUUACUAU